GACCCGUCUUUAAACACGGACCAAGGAGUUUAGCGUGUGCGCGAGUCAUUGGGCGUUGAAUACCCAAAGGCGCAAUGAAAGUGAAGGUCUGCCUUGUGCAGCUGAUGUGUGAUCCCGGGCGCUGCGGCGCCCGGGCGCAACAUAUUCCCGUCCCGACUGCAUGCAGUGGGGCGGAGACAGAGCGUACGCGCUGAGACCCGAAAGAUGGUGAACUAUUCCUGAGCAGGAUGAAGCCAGAGGAAACUCUGGUGGAAGUCCGAAGCGAUUCUGACGUGCAAAUCGAUCGUCUGACUUGGGUAUAGGUGCGAAAGACUUAUCGAACCAUCUAGUAGCUGGUUCCUUCC
rnacentral:rRNA from 1 species